CGGGGCGUAGCGCAGCCCGGUAGCGCACUUGACUGGGGGUCAAGGGGUCGCUGGUUCAAGUCCAGUCGCCCCGA
rfam:Rhizobium mesoamericanum STM3625 genomic scaffold, ANZ_1636